UUGACUUGGACAAUUAUUUAUGAUCUGAUCUCAAAUCAGGUAGGACUACCCGCUGAACUUAAGCAUAUCAAUAAGCGGAGGAAAAGAAACUAACAAGGAUUCCCCUAGUAACGGCGAGUGAAGCGGGAAGAGCUCAAAUUUAAAAUCUGGCAGCAUUAGUUGUCCGAGUUGUAGUCUAGAGAAGCAUCAUCCGCGCCGGACCAUGUACAAGUCUCUUGGAACAGAGCGUCAUAGAGGGUGAGAAUCCCGUCCUUGACAUGGACUCCCGGUGCUUUGUGUUGUGCUCUCAACGAGUCGAGUUGUUUGGGAAUGCAGCUCAAAAUGGGUGGUAAAUUCCAUCUAAAGCUAAAUAUUGGCGAGAGACCGAUAGCGAACAAGUACCGUGAGGGAAAGAUGAAAAGCACUUUGGAGAGAGAGUUAAACAGUACGUGAAAUUGUUGAAAUGGAAACGCUUGAAGUCAGUCGCGUUCUCUGGGAUUCAGCCUUGCUUCUGCUUGGUGCAUUUCCUAGUCUACGGGCCAGCAUGAAUUUCGACCGGUGGAAAAAGAUUUGGGGAAUGUGGCACCUUCGGGUGUGUUAUAGCCCCUUGUCACAUACACCGGUUGGGAUUGAGGUCUUA
rnacentral:rRNA from 1 species